rnacentral:lncRNA from 1 species
GUCGAUGAGGUUGAUGGAGUGGAAAACGCCCUGGUGCUCCUCAGACACGCACUGCCCGCACCCCGCCUGGCGGCACAUCCGGCAGUAGAGCUGCAGCAGCCGGCCCGGGUGCUUCUGGCAGCUGCCCCCGGCCCUGGCCGCGUUCGAGCGGUACAGCCUGACCACCUCGGCCAGUGUGGUGUUGACGGGCAGCGCGGCCGCGCCGCCGCGGGGCAGCGGGCAGAGCUUCCUGCACAGCGGGCACGAUACCCGGGCCCCCGCCGCAUCGUCGCCGUCCGGUCCCUGCCCCGGCCCCGGCCCCGACCCCCUCCGCGCGCCGCGGACCUGCCCCUGGCCCCGCUGCUGUUGCUGCUGCAGGCGGGCGGCUUCCGCCGAGGCCAGGCACUCCAGCACGCAGCCCCGGCAGAAGUUGUGCGAGCAGAGCGGCAGCGUCACCGGCUCCUCGAAGAGGGACAGGCAUACGGCGCACGUCAGACUGGCCUCCAUCUGCGACGAGCAGACGAGCGACCGGGGCCGCGGCUCCAUCUCCGCGGGGCCCGGCUCUCCCCGUUGCCUCCAGCCCUGCUCGGCGGGCCCCGCCGCCAUCCGGCCGGGGGAAACGGCAACAACCCCCAAACGCAACCGCCAACUUCCCAGGAAGUGGAGCUGGGCAGAGGGGAGGCGGGGCACGGAGGCGAUUGGGAGGAGGCAGGAGAUUGGCAGACCCGCCGUCCAAACAGAGCGGGGCUUGGGCCGCUCGCGAGAGGCCUUGUCCCGCGGCGCCUGCCGGGCGCUAACGCUGCCGCCGCCAUUUUGUGAGCGCUCGCGUUCACGAGGUUCCCGCUCUGGCUGAGGGAGCGGGCGGUGUUCGGUUGGUGGGAAAUGGCGCUUGAAGAAGAAAGCUGCGGUUGAGAGAAAUGUUUUCUCUUGCAUAGUGGUGAGUACAUGUGCUCCUCAAAUGUUGUUCACCAGAAGUCUCCUAGACAUGUGCUAUAUGCAGGAGUGCAGAAUUUGAGUGCUCUUCGGCCACGUGGGACAUGAGGUGCUAGUUGAGGUGAAACUGGAAGGGCUUGAGCCAGGAUUCACCCUGUCCCAGACCUAAUUUAAGGGUUGGCAGUGGAGGCGAUGACAUCUUGCUAAAGGUCCCUGGGUACCUGAAGCCUUCCAAGGGUACCUACAGCUUGAUGCAAACUUGAAACUCCUCAUUUCUUACAGCCGUUUUGGAAUAUGUGGCGGGGAUUCUGAAAGCUGGUUCUGGAGCAGGUACAACA